UACGGCGGAACACGAGAAAUUCCGUCGGAAUCCGCGGGGACCAUCCCGCAAGGCUAAAUACUCCCUAGUGACCGAUAGUGAACCAGUACCGUGAGGGAAAGGUGAAAAGCACCCCGGAAGGGGAGUGAAAUAGAUCCUGAAACCGUGUGCCUACAACAAGUCAAAGCUCGUUAAUGAGUGAUGGCGUGCCUUUUGUAGAAUGAACCGGCGAGUUACGAUUGCAUGCGAGGUUAAGUCGAAGAGACGGAGCCGCAGCGAAAGCGAGUCUGAAUAGGGCGAAUGAGUAUGUAGUCGUAGACCCGAAACCAUGUGAUCUACCCAUGUCCAGGUUGAAGGUGCGGUAAAACGCACUGGAGGACCGAACCCACGUACGUUGAAAAGUGCGGGGAUGAGGUGUGGGUAGCGGAGAAAUUCCAAACGAACUUGGAGAUAGCUGGUUCUCUCCGAAAUAGCUUUAGGGCUAGCCUCGGAAUUGAGAAUGAUGGAGGUAGAGCACUGUUUGGACUAGGGGCCCAUCUCGGGUUACCGAAUUCAGAUAAACUCCGAAUGCCAUUCAUUUAUAUCCGGGAGUCAGACUGCGAGUGAUAAGAUCCGUAGUCGAAAGGGAAACAGCCCAGACCACCAGCUAAGGUCCCAAAAUAUAUGUUAAGUGGAAAAGGAUGUGGGGUUGCACAGACAACUAGGAUGUUGGCUUAGAAGCAGCCACCAUUUAAAGAGUGCGUAAUAGCUCACUAGUCGAGUGACCCUGCGCCGAAAAUGUACCGGGGCUAAACAUAUUACCGAAGCUGUGGACUACACCAUUAGGUGUAGUGGUAGGAGAGCGUUCUAAGGGCGUUGAAGGUCGAUCGUGAGGACGGCUGGAGCGCUUAGAAGUGAGAAUGCCGGUAUGAGUAGCGAAAGACAGGUGAGAAUCCUGUCCACCGUAUGACUAAGGUUUCCUGGGGAAGGCUCGUCCGCCCAGGGUUAGUCGGGACCUAAGCCGAGGCCGAUAGGCGUAGGCGAUGGACAACAGGUUGAUAUUCCUGUACCAGUUGUUUUUGUUUGAGCAAUGGAGGGACGCAGUAGGCUAAGGAAUGCAUGCGAUUGGAAGUGCAUGUCCAAGCAAUGAGUCUUGAGUAGAGUUAAAUGCUUUACUCUCUAAGGACAAGUUGUGACGGGGAGCGAAAUAAUAGUAGCGAAGUUCCUGAUGUCACACUGCCAAGAAAAGCUUCUAGUGAGAAAACAACUGCCCGUACCGUAAACCGACACAGGUAGUCGAGGAGAGUAUCCUAAGGUGAGCGAGCGAACUCUCGUUAAGGAACUCGGCAAAAUGACCCCGUAAC
rnacentral:rRNA from 1 species